rnacentral:lncRNA from 1 species
GUUUGUUAUGCAGCCUGCAGAACCAGAAAUCAUGGGAAAAACUGCCCAUUUCUGUUUUGUCCACUUUGCUUUGGGAAGUGAGAGCUAUAGUCAUUAUCACCACAUCCCCUGGCAUCCAAUUCCACAUUCUACCUCAGAAGUUAUUUGGAGGAAUCCAAGGACUUAGAUAUUUUACCAAUGUCUCUGGUGAUUUUUAUAUCGGUGGCCCAUGGGUGUUGACCUAUGAAACUGCUCUGCAGCAGAUAUUGAGAAAUAGGAGUUCAGCUGAGGACUAUCCUGAUCAAAUAUGCAUACUUCAAAGAUUGCUUCAAUGGACCGAAUGGAAGGAAGAGGUUGCUGAUACCAUGGAAAUCAGUUAAAAGGCUCAUGAAAGAAUGCAAACAAAAAGUUUUUUCAACUGAAUUUGUCCUGCUCUACACCUCUUCCUCCACCCCUCCAAAAUAAAACAAGAUAAUACUGCCAAA